AAUGCAAAAGUAAAUAAAAUAGAGUUAUUACCUAAUGAAUAUAGUCAAUAGGAUAAAUGCAUACAUGUUUUUAUUUAACCUGACCAGCAUUCUCGGUUUUCAAGGGAAAUCUUUCAAAAAUAAUGUUCGUUCUAUUAUUAAUGGAACUAGAGGAAGCACCCCUAAAAAAAUGAAGGCAGCUAAAAAAGUACACAUAAGACAGUGUCUCAGUCCAUUCAGGCUGCUAAAACAAACACAAUAGACUGGGAAGUUAACUUAUAAGCAACAGAAAACUAUUUCUCACAGUUCUGGAGGGUGCAAAGUCCAAGAUCAAGUAGAUUUGGCAUCUGGUGAGGGUCUGUUCUGGGAUGGAACUUUCCCACUGUGUCCUCACAGUGGAAGGGUGAAGGCAACUCUCUAGGGCCUCUUUCAUAAGAACACUAAUCCCAUUUAUGAGAGCUCCAUCCUCAUAACUUAAUCACUUCUGGAAUGUCCUACCUCUUAAUACCACUGCAUUGGUGAUUAGGUUUAGACAUAUAAAUUAUGAGUGUACAUAAACAUUCAGAGCAGUACAGACAGGGUUUUUAAGAGUAUCUAAGAAUAAGGGUUUGAACCCCUGAUUGUUUACAGUGAGUGAAUCAGUCAUUUGACAUUCAUCUUAAUUAAAACUUCUUCUCUGUUCAUUGCUCCUUUUGUACAUCUCCUCAUCUUCUCUUCCAAGAGCCAUCUGCCUAAUCAAGUUGGCCUGCCCAGAGAGGAGGAAUCCAGAGAGGCAGUCCAACUAUAGCCACUUUGCAGAGCUGACGUGGGCUCCACAGCUUUGAAAGUCCUGGCAGCUUUGCUUAUACUGUGAGGGAAAAACUGCCUACGCAAGCUUCAGUAAUGUUCAAACAUAGUUUUCACGAAGAAAUCGUGACCAAACUUCACCAAUGCUCAUGCUAUAAUAACUGUACAUCUGAUUUGAACUCAGCUCCAAAGAAGACAACAUUCACAUGGCUUUAAUAUGCACGGAGAAGAAAAAGCAUCCAGAACAAUGGGCGAGAAGAAAUAAAAACUUGUUGUCUAAAUCAAAGGAUUGGUAUUCUCCAAAUCGUUGCUACCACAUUGAGCCAUUUUCUCUGAUGUUGUCUCUACAAAGCAAAGUGAAAUGGACAGUUUUCCAGCUAAUUUGUUUUGUAUGGACCGCCAAGCUGGACACUUGCAGACCACAAAGUCUGUGAAUGAGAACCUGGGAGCUGGCAUGAGAAGAACUGAGCUGGAGCAUUUCGCCAUCACUGAAUAAAUAACUUACCCUCUUGAAUUCUUCCCUGUACAACUGGAGUAAGACACCACCCUGGCUUUUACACAGUUUGUGAGCUAAUAAGAUAAUGCUUAUGUACCUG